rnacentral:misc_RNA from 1 species
GUCCUUAGACAAGCUAUAAACAAUGUGGAUAAGAUCACGGUUGCAAUCCAUCUCCUGGAUAAUCUCAGCGACGCUUAUGAAGCUAGGGGAGCUGAAGAUGGUAGCUGCAUAUAUUUCGUCUGCGACCAAGUGAAUGUUUCUCUCAUUGAUGAAGCUCACCAGGUCUUUUAGGGUCUCCCUUUCUAAGACGGUGCCCAGUGGAUUUGAUGGGUUGGCUAUAAUCAAGCCUUUGACAUUGAUGCCAGCUCCUUGGGCUCUAUCAUACGCUGCUUCUAACGCAUU